rnacentral:rRNA from 1 species
UAAUACAUCGGAACGUGCCCAGUCUGGGGGAUAACUACGCGAAAGCGUAGCUAAUACCGCAUACGAUCUACGGAUGAAAGCGGGGGAUCGCAAGACCUCGCGCGAUUGGAGCGGCCGAUGGCAGAUUAGGUAGUUGGUGGGGUAAAGGCUCACCAAGCCAACGAUCUGUAGCUGGUCUGAGAGGACGACCAGCCACACUGGGACUGAGACACGGCCCAG